rnacentral:rRNA from 1 species
ACGGGAGGCAGCAGUGGGGAAUAUUGCACAAUGGGAGAAAUCCUGAUGCAGCGACGCCGCGUGAGUGAAGAAGUGCUUCGGUAUGUAAAGCUCUAUCAGCAGGGAAGAAAAUGACGGUACCUGACUAAGAAGCCCCGGCUAACUACGUGCCAGCAGCCGCGGUAAUACGUCGGGGGCAAGCGUUAUCUGGAUUUACUGGGUGUAAAGGGAGCGUAGACGGCGAUGCAAGUCUGAUGUGAAAUGCGGGGGCUCAACCCCUGGACUGCAUUGGAAACUGUAUUGCUGGAGUGCCGGAGAGGUAAGCGGAAUUCCUAGUGUAGCGGUGAAAUGCGUAGAUAUUAGGAGGAACACCAGUGGCGAAGGCGGCUUACUGGACGGUAACUGACGUUGAGGCUCGAAAGCGUGGGGAGCAAACAGGAUUAGAUACCCUGGUA